UACGAAGGGGGCUAGCGUUGCUCGGAAUCACUGGGCGUAAAGGGUGCGUAGGCGGGUCUUUAAGUCAGGGGUGAAAUCCUGGAGCUCAACUCCAGAACUGCCUUUGAUACUGAAGAUCUUGAGUUCGGGAGAGGUGAGUGGAACUGCGAGUGUAGAGGUGAAAUUCGUAGAUAUUCGCAAGAACACCAGUGGCGAAGGCGGCUCACUGGCCCGGUACUGACGCUGAGGUGCGCAAGCGUGGGGAGCAAACAGG
rnacentral:rRNA from 1 species